AUGAGACAUCAAGAACCUGAGCUUCAUUAAGUCCUGAGACCAGGUGGUGUCUAUUAUGAAUAUGGAUGCUAUUAACAUUCAUCUACAAGUCUUGGUGUGGACAUUGUUUUAUUUCUCUGGGGUAGAGAAGUGGAAUUGCAAGGUCCUAUGCUGCCAAAACCCUUGGGAUUUCCUGAGCAAUAACUGGAAGCAACUUUUGUCAUAAUAUUUGGUGUCCUGUCCUCAGUUCCUGAAACUGCUUCAGACCAUGAAGGUGAAAUGGGUGUCUUGUUACUCAUAACAAGACCUUUUCCACCACAACUGGGUUUAUGUUAACGUGGUUAUUACCUGAAAACUGGGAUCGCCUCUUGGUGGGUGUCAAGCCAAAAGACACAAUUGUAAGUAGAUAGGGUAGGGGG